ACGGGAGGCAGCAGUGAGGAAUAUUGGUCAAUGGGCGAGAGCCUGAACCAGCCAAGUAGCGUGAAGGAUGACUGCCCUACGGGUUGUAAACUUCUUUUGCCGGGGGAUAAAAAACGGGACGUGUCCCGUCUUGCAGGUACCCGUGCGAAUAAGGACCGGCUAAUUCCGUGCCAGCAGCCGCGGUAAUACGGAAGAUGCGAGCGUUAUCCGGAUUUAUUGGGUUUAAAGGGAGCGUAGGCGGCCUUUUAAGUAAGCGGUCAAAUGUCAGCGCCCAACGCUGGCCUGCCGUUGAUACUGAUGGGCUUGAAUACACACAAGGAAGGUGGAAUUCGUCGUGUAGCGGUGAAAUGCUUAGAUAUGACGAAGAACUCCGAUUGCGAAGGCAGCCUUCUGGAGUGCGAUUGACGCUGAGGCUCGAAAGCGCGGGUAUCAAACAGGAUUAGAUACCCUGGUA
rnacentral:rRNA from 1 species